GCGGCGAGCGAAGCGGGAAGAGCUCAAAUUUAUAAUCUGGCACCUUCGGUGUCCGAGUUGUAAUCUCUAGAAAUGUUUUCCGCGUUGGACCGCACACAAGUCUGUUGGAAUACAGCGGCAUAGUGGUGAGACCCCCGUAUAUGGUGCGGACGCCCAGCGCUUUGUGAUACAUUUUCGAAGAGUCGAGUUGUUUGGGAAUGCAGCUCAAAUUGGGUGGUAAAUUCCAUCUAAAGCUAAAUAUUGGCGAGAGACCGAUAGCGAACAAGUACCGUGAGGGAAAGAUGAAAAGCACUUUGGAAAGAGAGUUAACAGUACGUGAAAUUGUUGGAAGGGAAACGCUUGAAGUCAGACUUGCUUGCCGAGCAAUCGGUUUGCAGGCCAGCAUCAGUUUUCCGGGAUGGAUAAUGGUAGAGAGAAGGUAGCAGUUUCGGCUGUGUUAUAGCUCUCUGCUGGAUACAUCUUGGGGGACUGAGGAACGCAGUGUGCCUUUGGCGGGGGUUUCGACCUCUUCACACUUAG
rnacentral:rRNA from 1 species